rnacentral:rRNA from 1 species
CGUGAGCGAAGAAGGCCUUCGGGUCGUAAAGCUCUGUUGUUAGGGAAGAACAAGUACGAGAGUAACUGCUCGUACCUUGACGGUACCUAACCAGAAAGCCACGGCUAACUACGUGCCAGCAGCCGCGGUAAUACGUAGGUGGCAAGCGUUGUCCGGAAUUAUUGGGCGUAAAGCGCGCGCAGGCGGUCCUUUAAGUCUGAUGUGAAAGCCCACGGCUCAACCGUGGAGGGUCAUUGGAAACUGGGGGACUUGAGUGCAGAAGAGGAGAGUGGAAUUCCACGUGUAGCGGUGAAAUGCGUAGAGAUGUGGAGGAACACCAGUGGCGAAGGCGACUCUCUGGUCUGUAACUGACGCUGAGGCGCGAAAGCGUGGGGAGCAAACAGGAUUAGAUACCCUGGUAGUCCACGCCGUAAACGAUGAGUGCUAAGUGUUAGAGGGUUUCCGCCCUUUAGUGCUGCAGCUAACGCAUUAAGCACUCCGCCUGGGGAGUACGGCCGCAAGGCUG